CUGAUCUACCGCACGGUGUGAGGUGGUCACUUGAGUUGCAGUGGGGUAGUGGAACACGCUGCAUCCCAUGUGACCGCCCUACACAGUGCCAUGUCAUGCAG
rnacentral:pre_miRNA from 1 species